GGCGCCCCUCGCCCAGACCAGAGCCAAUCGCCAGUGAGCGGCGACCCAGCGGCGUCCCUCGCCGCCCGUCUUCUUCUUCUUCCUCUUCUUCUUCUUCUUCUUCUUCUUCUUCUUCUUCUUCUUCUUUUAUUUUUAAAUACAGAUCUGUAUGUGUUCGACGAAUUUGGUCUGAUUUGGUGUAUGAAUUUGGUCUGAUUUGGUGUAUGAAUUUGGUCAUCGAAUUUGGUCAGCUUUUCUGUAUGAAUUUGGUCAUCGAAAUAUCCGAUUUGGUGUAUGAAUUUGGUCUGAUUUGGUGUAUGAAUUUGGUCAUCGAAUUUCUCAGCUUUUCUGUAUGAAUUUGGUCAGCUUUUCGACUGAAUUUGCUGCUGCUGUUGUAAAAACUAUCGGGUAUUUCGGGUACCCGAAUACCCGAAUCGGAUACCCGACUCGGGUAUUAGGGUACCCGAUUUCAGAAUCGGGUUCGGGAUCGGGUGUGGGUUUUGGUCAAUUUUCGGGUUCGGGUACCCGAUUUUUUCGGGUAGGGUACCCGAACCCAACCCGAUUCCCAGCCCUA
rnacentral:lncRNA from 1 species